UAAGUUAGUGGCCGAAACAUUUUGAACUAACGCCUCUUUCUUCUUGAAUCUCUGCCCUAGUUUCCUCUCUGGCCUCUGCCCUCAUCCUUUCACCUCUGCCGCUCUGCGCCUCUUUCAUCAUCUUCUUCUUCUUCUCUCUGCGCCUCUGCCGCUACUAAGGCUGAUUCUUCGCCUGCCCCUAAAUUUCCCUCGCUGCCCUCAAAUUUCUACAUCUCCCUCAUCUCAGCUGCCGCCUGCCCUCAAAUUUCCACAAUGAGUUUUCAGAUUUGGAGCAACUCUCUCUCAAAAUAGCGACAAGAUUUUCAGUUUGGGGUUGACGAACUGAUUGAGUUGUGUAGGAAACAUGCUGAUGUGGAGGCAGAUUUGUCUUCCAAGCUUACAAAUGCUCAGAGACAAUUCGAUGAAUGUUCUAGCUCUUUAAAAUGGAACAAGGAUCGGGUGGUGGGGCUUGAAAUGAAGCUAACCUCAUUGCAGGAGGAGUUACGAUCAACGAAAGAGGUGGCUGUAGCAAACGAGGAGCAACUCUCAGGCAAACAAACUUGUGGAACUAUACAAGGAAAGUUCUGAGGAAUGGUCCAAAAAGGCAGGAGACCUUGAAGGCGUGAUCAAAGCCUUGGAGACACAUCUUAAUCAAGAUCGGAAUGAUUACAACGAAAGACUUUAAAAGGAAGUAUCUGCAAGGCAUCAAUUUGAAAAGGUUAGCUUCUAUUGUAUAUUUUUU